rnacentral:misc_RNA from 1 species
AAGUCGUAACAAGGUUUCCGUAGGUGAACCUGCGGAAGGAUCAUUAAAAUGUAACCGGACCGGGACGUCGGGGGCGAGAGAGCCCCGCGGACCGCGAAGGGAGGAUAUCAUACACCCUGUGUUUAUUUACCUUUGUUGCUUUGGCGGGCCGUCCGUAAGGCGUCGGCCCCGGCUGACCGCGCCCGCCAGAGGACCCAAGCUCUUUUAUCAGUGAUGUCUGAGUACUAUGUAAUAGUUAAAA